rnacentral:rRNA from 1 species
UACGGAGGGUGCAGGCGUUAUCCGGACUCACUGGGUUUAAAGGGUGCGUAGGCGGGGAGGUAAGUCAGUGGUGAAAUCUUCGAGCUUAACUCGGAAACUGCCUUUGAUACUAUCUAUCUUGAAUAUUGUGGAGGUAAGCGGAAUAUGUCAUGUAGCGGUGAAAUGCUUAGAUAUGACAUAGAACACCUAUUGCGAAGGCAGCUUACUACGCAUAUAUUGACGCUGAGGCACGAAAGCGUGGGGAUCAAACAGG